rnacentral:rRNA from 1 species
UACGUAGGGGGCAAGCGUUGUCCGGAAUUAUUGGGCGUAAAGAGCGCGUAGGCGGUCCGGUAAGUCGGCUGUGAAAGUCAAGGGCUCAACCCUUGAAAGCCGGCCGAUACUGUCGGACUAGAGUCCGGAAGAGGCGAGUGGAAUUCCCGGUGUAGCGGUGAAAUGCGUAGAUAUCGGAAGGAACACCAGUGGCGAAAGCGGCUUCCUGGUCCAGCACCGACGUUCAGGCACGAAAGCGUGGGGAGCAAACAGG